CAGUUCUUCUUGGUCAUCUCUACUAGUUUCGAUUUAUUCCCUAACUUGAGGGAGAUGACUGCAGUAGCUGCUGCAGAGUUGGUGACUGACUUCUUUGGAGGCAAUCUUGUUUAUGUUUGGACACAGAAUCACCACUGCUUCGUGCCUGCUGUUCCUUCUAAUUGCUUCACACUAUCGGCAUAUGACUACACUGUACCUCCUCAAGAAUUGGAAUAUUAUCAAGAACAUGGAUACUCAAAAGUCAGUUCUGUGCCCUGUAAAGAAGAAUUUGAGGAGCUUAAAUAGCCUGCUGCUUUGAUCUCAUCUGUCCCUUAGGUUCUCUAAACAGAUUUUAUGACUUUCAAAUUUGGGUAUUUCAAUAGACGUUUCUAGUUUUUGUUACAUCAUCUUUGAAAAAUGCUUGCAAGAUGAAUAAAUUUACAUUCAGC
rnacentral:lncRNA from 1 species